UGGGGAAUAUUGGACAAUGGGCGCAAGCCUGAUCCAGCCAUGCCGCGUGAGUGAUGAAGGCCCUAGGGUUGUAAAGCUCUUUCACCGGUGAAGAUAAUGACGGUAACCGGAGAAGAAGCCCCGGCUAACUUCGUGCCAGCAGCCGCGGUAAUACGAAGGGGGCUAGCGUUGUUCGGAUUUACUGGGCGUAAAGCGCACGUAGGCGGACUAUUAAGUCAGGGGUGAAAUCCCGGGGCUCAACCCCGGAACUGCCUUUGAUACUGGUAGUCUUGAGUUCGAGAGAGGUGAGUGGAAUUCCGAGUGUAGAGGUGAAAUUCGUAGAUAUUCGGGGGAACACCAGUGGCGAAGGCGGCUCACUGGCUCGUUACUGACGCUGAGGUGCGAAAGCGUGGGGAGCAAACAGG
rnacentral:rRNA from 1 species